UACAGAGACUGCAAGCGCUAUUCGGAUUCACUGGGCGUAAAGGGUGCGCAGGCGGCCGUGUGUGUGAGGCGUGAAAGCCCGGGGCUUAACCCCGGAAUUGCACCUCAAACUACACGGCUAGAGCAUUGGAGAGGGUAGCAGAAUUCAUGGUGUAGCAGUGAAAUGCGUAGAUAUCAUGAGGAAUACCAGAGGCGAAGGCGGCUACCUGGACAAUUGCUGACGCUCAGGCACGAAAGCGUGGGGAGCAAAAGGG
rnacentral:rRNA from 1 species